AUGGCUAAUCUUGCCAACAUGUUUGCUGUCCUUGACCUGGAUGGCGAGGACGAUCGAAAGGAAGUGGAACAACCGACAUCCAGCAAGCCAGAAGCUGCUGCCACCGCCGCCGCCAGGAAACCCGAUAGUGGCAUGGUGAAUAACAAAAUGAUUGUAAAUUAUAAUGGGGAUACACUUGGUUCAUCGUCAAGUGAGUACAAGAUGCCAUUGGUGUGGAUUGACUUGGAAAUGACCGGUUUGGAUAUCAGAAAAGACCGCAUAUUGGAGAUUGCUUGUAUUAUAACAGAUGGUAAACUUACCAAACGGAUAGAGGGUCCUGAUUUGGUUAUAAGACAGAGCAAGGAAUGCUUAGACAACAUGAAUGAAUGGUGUAAAACCCAUCAUGGUGCCAGUGGACUGACAGAACAAGUACUGCAGAGUGAUAUUUCUGAGUGUGAUGCUGAGAAACAGGUGCUAGACUUUGUUAGGAGGUAUAUUGGUUCGGCGACUCCAUUGAUUGCUGGGAAUUCUAUCUAUACAGAUUUACUAUUUUUGAAGGAGUAUAUGCCACAGCUUGCAGGCAUAUUCCCUCAUGUGAUAGUUGAUGUGAGCAGCAUAACGGCUCUGUGCAUCCGCUGGUUCCCCAAGGAAAGGAAGCAAGCUCCAAGAAAGGAGAAAAACCACAGGGCACUGGACGACAUCAGAGAGAGCAUCAUGGAGCUGCAGUACUACAAGGAGAACAUCUUCAAAUCGCGGCAAUCUAAGCAUUAG
rnacentral:rRNA from 1 species